GACGAACGCUGGCGGCGUGCCUAAUACAUGCAAGUGGGACGCAAGGAAACACACUGUGCUUGCACACCGUGUUUUCUUGAGUCGCGAACGGGUGAGUAACGCGUAAGUAACCUGCCUAUUAGCGGGGGAUAACUAUUGGAAACGAUAGCUAAUACCGCAUAAUAUUAAUUAUUGCAUGAUAAUUGAUUGAAAGAUGCAAGCGCAUCACUAGUAGAUGGACCUGCGUUGUAUUAGCUAGUUGGUAAGGUAAGAGCUUACCAAGGCGACGAUACAUAGCCGACCUGAGAGGGUGAUCGGCCACACUGGGACUGAGACACGGCCCAGACUUCUACGGGAGGCAGCAGUAGGGAAUCUUCGGCAAUGGACGAAAGUCUGACCGAGCAACGCCGCGUGAGUGAAGAAGGUUUUCGGAUCGUAAAGCUCUGUUGUAAGUCAAGAACGUGUGUGAGAGUGGAAAG
rnacentral:rRNA from 1 species